GCGGCCGACGGAGACUACAAACCAGAGGCGGAGGACAAAGCGGAAGGCCGAAGAGCGAGGACGAAACCGGCGGAACCGCACUUUGGAGCCUAACGAGCCAUCGCUGCGUCUGAGACUGAGACCCGGUAGUAAACAGGCCGGACGUGACGCAAGCCGCUCGGCCUAGGGAUGGUGGCUGGCCGGGUUGUCAUGGAAACCGCACCGGAGCCGGGAGCUGGGAGCUAUGAGUGCUGACUGCGUGAACUCGGCCUCCACUUCCCGGACCUGCCACUUAUCAUGAUCCACGAGCUGUACUCAUGACUCCGCACAAGCAAGCAGGGGCUGACGGUCGGAUCCCUCGCCCCCAUUUUACGGACAGAAGUACUGAGGCUCAAAAAGAGCCAGUGAGAUGCUGAAAUCACGCGUGAUUGGAAUCCAGCCUUGUUAGGGCUGCGGGUGUUACGGGCCGUGGGCGGCGGUUAAGAGCGCUAGUCAAGUGAAGCAAUGGGAAUGGAGAAGAAACAAAUCUAUAACUGGUUGUGAUGAAUUAGUCGUAAGCACCACUGCAAUUGGACCAGUCAAUACCAUGGUUAUCACAGGAGCGUGGCUGAGGCUGUUUGGCCCUGAGUGCCAGGUCUGCACCCUGCACUAAGGAUGGGUGAGGAACGACAGGCAGUCAAGCUGGUUGGUGCUACAGGCAACGUACAGUAAGCCAUGAUGGGCAGAGGCAGGAAAUACUUAGAGAACUGGAAAGAAUAAAGGAGCCGGUGUUCUCUUCGCAGGGCCAGGUGAGU